UACAGAGGUCUCAAGCGUUGUUCGGAUUCAUUGGGCGUAAAGGGCGCGUAGGCGGCGGGGUAAGUCUGGUGUGAAAUCUAGGAGCUCAACUCCUAAACUGCACUGGAUACUGCUCUGCUAGAGGACUGGAGAGGAGACUGGAAUUUACGGUGUAGCGGUGAAAUGCGUAGAUAUCGUAAGGAAGACCAGUGGCGAAGGCGGGUCUCUGGACAGUUCCUGACGCUGAGGCACGAAGGUCAGGGGAGCAAACGGG
rnacentral:rRNA from 1 species